UACAGAGGUCUCAAGCGUUGUUCGGAUUCAUUGGGCGUAAAGGGUGUGUAGGUGGCGCGCUAAGUCGGGUGUGAAAUUUCGGAGCUUAACUCCGAAACUGCAUUCGAUACUGGCGUGCUUGAGGACUGGAGAGGAGACUGGAAUUCAUGGUGUAGCAGUGAAAUGCGUAGAGAUCAUGAGGAAGACCAGUGGCGAAGGCGGGUCUCUGGACGGCAACUGACGCUGAGGCACGAAAGCGUGGGGAGCAAACGGG
rnacentral:rRNA from 1 species